rnacentral:rRNA from 1 species
UAGGGAAUCUUCGGCAAUGGGGGGAACCCCGACCGAGCAACGCCGCGUGAGUGAAGAAGGUUUUCGGAUCGUAAAGCUCUGUUGUUAAGGAAGAACGAGUGUGAGAAUGGAAAGUUCAUACUGUGACGGUACUUAACCAGAAAGGGACGGCUAACUACGUGCCAGCAGCCGCGGUAAUACGUAGGUCCCGAGCGUUGUCUGGAUUUAUUGGGCGUAAAGCGAGCGCAGGCGGUUAGAUAAGUCUGAAGUUAAAGGCAGUGGCUCAACCAUUGUAGGCUUUGGAAACUGUUUAACUUGAGUGCAGAAGGGGAGAGUGGAAUUCCAUGUGUAGCGGUGAAAUGCGUAGAUAUAUGGAGGAACACCGGUGGCGAAAGCGGCUCUCUGGUCUGUAACUGACGCUGAGGCUCGAAAGCGUGGGGAGCGAACAGG